rnacentral:tRNA from 2 species
CUCUCGGUCGUAUAGUGGAUAAUACAACCCCCUCCUAAGGGGUAAACGCAGGUUCGAUUCCUGCCCGAGAGACCA